GGGAAAUGACAAGCCCGUCAGUGUUAAAGGCAUACAGUUAAAUGGCUUCGGCCAUUUCCCUCACUUUAAAUAAAGAUUAAUCAUGACGGUGACGACGACGACGACAGCGACGGUGAGGAAAAAGGAGGAAGGAAGCAAAGCUCCCAGCUCGGGACCGUCGGCUCCAGUGGACAAUGUGAGUUUCCAGACCACUCCAACCCCAUGGAAACCCCUGGAAAGUCAGACAAGGGUAAGAAGAGGCGUUGGCACCGUGUACUGACUGACACCCACGGCAUCUUCAAUUCUAUUUGCAUAUGCUUUUCCACGUAAAGAGAUCUACCUGAAAAACUGUUCGAGUUUUUUGCAUAAAUAGCAGGAGUGGAGCCAAGCACGGAAAUGAGCGUCAGUUUCUCUGACGCUGCCGGUGAGCUCGCUCCAGUGUCCUUCCAAGAUGUCGGCCCGUCAGUCUGCGAAGGCAGGGCCGUCUUUGUGGGGGCAAAUGUUCCGGGGGGGUGGAAAGCUGGAGAGACAGGUACCGACCUCCCCGCCGAGAGAGAGGAGACUGUGAAAGAGUAGGAAACACAGGGUGCUAGGAUUUUUUCCCCGUGACCCCAGGAGUGCAAGCCUCCUCUCAUAGAUACCCAGAGGUAUCAUUGACAAAGGGCCGGCGCGUCCAAGAAAGCAUGCGCACAGUGCUCAAUAGUCAUCGAUUCAUCGAGGUAGAAUGGUUAGGGCAAAGGUCAAAGCCAGGUGAGUGCAGCUGAGAGGCAGGCUGACUGCUGGAGGCAGUGAUGGGCUGGAAAUGACCCCUGAAGGCUCAGGGUUUCAAGGACAGUGAGCUGAAGGUGGGCAGCCGGCUCUCCACUCCUGGUACCUCCAAGCUGUUUUCCCUUAUCCUUGUCCCCUAAAUGCCACAGGAUAACACUGUCUACUUGGCAUUGGCCAUGUAUUAGCUGUUACAAGGCAUCUAGGAAUGGAUUAAAGUAUAUGAGUGGGUAAGAGUGUAAUUGUGAACAAUUCAAGCACUCUUGGUUUUUGCUCUCCCCUUCGACACUGAGGAACAGCUGCAUGUUUCUAUAAGGAAGGUGCUCGGUGUUCAGGGCUUCCUUUCUGGGAGCUGCUCAGUUGACCUUCGUACUAUCCCAAGGAUAAAAUCGUCCAAAAGGAGUAAGUAGGGCAGUAGGAUGGGAGAAAGUAGAUCUUGUGCUCUGAGCUGAAAUCCCAACGUGCAACUAAGAAAGGAGGAGGAAGAGGAAAAGGGUCAGGUAGUAGUCAGGAGGUGGGCAUCAAAAGACCUGGCAUGGGAGGAACAAGAUCUCAUUAAGAAUUAGAUGGAGAAAUAAAAGCCCAGGGCAGAGACCCUUCCUCUCCCCUAAGCUCCUCGAAGGGAGGAACUGGAUAUCCCAUAGUGUCUCAUAGGAAGAGCGUAAGCUCAGCAGGUAUAACCCCAACUUCAUUAUCAAGACUUCAUUUCCUGAGCACUGCUCUAAGGGAGAAAAAGAAAGGAGAAGCAGAAGUUCGAACCAGUGACAGAGCUCGCAGGCACAGCAGUUUGUGUGGGAAGGGCCAGUCAUUGUUUGUUUUGAGAUGGGACACACACACUCAAUUUCCCAGGCUGGCUUUGAACUAUGAACUUUGCAGUGGCUGAGAUGACAGGCCCUCACCAUCAGGCCUAGUUCCUUCAGUAUAGCUGAGCUGUCUGUUCCUGACGAGGCACUGGGAAGGAAGAGGCACCGAGUUCAACGCAGGAUUCUGGAAUCUCUGGGCCUCUCUUCUGACUGGCUGGCCCUGGUCGUCUUCCUCACCUCAGUAACCAGCAGCCAUCCAGCUGCCGCCUUCUAUGUGAUCUGACCAGCCUUUCCCAUCAGAAUCCAUUCCUGCGAUGAAGUCCCGCUUCUUCUAAAUCUGGAGACCCAGCCUGGAAGAAAGGGCUCCUGCCAUGAAAGCAUUUGGAGGCAGACUGCAGCAUCUUCUCUGAGGGUUUGCAUUUCAAAGCUGGGAACAAAGAGGACAGAUGUGUGGAUGUCCUUGGUCACCCUGCAGGUGAACACAACGUCAAGAACGGGUCCUGUAAGGGCUUUCCUACAGCAAGGUCUUCACAGCCAGAAUGGAACCCUCAGCAUCGUCCUGCUGCCCCUGAGAUUCUGCUCCGCCCCAAGGAGGGGAAGGACGAGAAGGACUAACUAAUCUCCCAACAGUCAUGCUUCUGUCUAAGAGAGCACUUCAAAACUAGGCACAGAACGGGUGCAAAGACACUUGUCGCUUUUGAUGGGUGAGAAGUGGACUUUUUCCUCUCCCGUUGCCUACCUUUCCUCAAGGGAGGAAGGGCUUCUUUCUCCAGGACGCAGACUUCCCAGGGUGCUGCUGACACAGGGCCUAGGCUCAUCUCUGUGGAGCCCAGGGUAGGAGGGUAGAGGAACUGGCACUGCUCCAAAGACAAGAAAGAGGGUGGGGAAGACAGGAGAUGGUGAGGAGGGAGGGGGAGAAGGGAAGAGAAAGGGGAGGCUCUUCAUUGAUUUUUCUAUACCAUC